GAUGAACGCUGGCGGCAUGCCUAAUACAUGCAAGUCGAGCGAACAGACGAGGAGCUUGCUCCUCUGACGUUAGCGGCGGACGGGUGAGUAACACGUGGAUAACCUACCUAUAUGACUGGGAUAACUUCGGGAAACCGGAGCUAAUACCGGAUAAUAUAUUGAACCGCAUGGUUCAAUAGUGAAAGACGGUUUUGCUGUCACUUAUAGAUGGAUCCGCGCCGCAUUAGCUAGUUGGUAAGGUAACGGCUUACCAAGGCAACGAUGCGUAGCCGACCUGAGAGGGUGAUCGGCCACACUGGAACUGAGACACGGUCCAGACUCCUACGGGAGGCAGCAGUAGGGAAUCUUCCGCAAUGGGCGAAAGCCUGACGGAGCAACGCCGCGUGAGUGAUGAAGGUCUUCGGAUCGUAAAACUCUGUUAUUAGGGAAGAACAAAUGUGUAAGUAACUAUGCACGUCUUGACGGUACCUAAUCAGAAAGCCACGGCUAACUACGUG
rnacentral:rRNA from 1 species